rnacentral:rRNA from 1 species
UGGGGAAUAUUGCACAAUGGGCGCAAGCCUGAUGCAGCCAUGCCGCGUGUGUGAAGAAGGCCUUCGGGUUGUAAAGCACUUUCAGCGAGGAGGAAGGGUAGUGUGUUAAUAGCACAUUGCAUUGACGUUACUCGCAGAAGAAGCACCGGCUAACUCCGUGCCAGCAGCCGCGGUAAUACGGAGGGUGCAAGCGUUAAUCGGAAUUACUGGGCGUAAAGCGCACGCAGGCGGUUUGUUAAGUCAGAUGUGAAAUCCCCGCGCUUAACGUGGGACUGCAUUUGAAACUGGCAAGCUAGAGUCUUGUAGAGGGGGGUAGAAUUCCAGGUGUAGCGGUGAAAUGCGUAGAGAUCUGGAGGAAUACCGGUGGCGAAGGCGGCCCCCCUGGACAAAGACUGACGCUCAGGUGCGAAAGCGUGGG